rnacentral:rRNA from 1 species
UACGUAGGGUGCAAGCGUUGUCCGGAAUUAUUGGGCGUAAAGAGCUCGUAGGCGGUUCGUCGCGUCGGCUGUGAAAACCCGGAGCUCAACUCCGGGCCUGCAGUCGAUACGGGCGGACUCGAGUUCGGCAGGGGAGACUGGAAUUCCUGGUGUAGCGGUGAGAUGCGCAGAUAUCAGGAGGAACACCGAUGGCGAAGGCAGGUCUCUGGGCCACUACUGACGCUGAGAAGCGAAAGCAUGGGGAGCGAACAGG